rnacentral:lncRNA from 1 species
ACACUGCUGUGCGUUUUUGUUGCCGAUCUUACUUUGAUACCUGACGGUUUUUUACUUUUUCAUUACCGUAUAUUUUUACUUUUUCCCUCACUCAACUUUUUUCAUUCAACUUUUUCACCCCGGAGGUUUUAUCUGGACAUGGUUCGUCAGGACUUCAAACAGCCGAAGCUAAGACCUGAGCCCUAGGACCAUGCCUCAGGACUACCUGGUAUGAUGACUCCUUGCUGUCCCCAGUCCACCUGGCCGUGCUGCUGCUCCAGUUUCAACUGUUCUGCCUGCGGCUAUGGAACCCUGACCUGUUCACCGGACGUGCUUGUUGCACCCUCGACAACUACUAUGAUUAUUAUUAUUUGACCAUGCUGGUCAUUUAUGAACAUUUUAACAUUUUAACAUUUUGACCAUGUUCUGUUAUAAUAUCCACCCUGCACAGCCAGAAGAGGACUGGCCACCCCUCAUAGCCUGGUUCCUCUCUAGGUUUCUUCCUAGGUUUUUGGCCUUUCUAGGGAGUUUUUCCUAGGGAGUUUUUCCUAGCCACCGUGCUUCUUUCACAUGCUUUGCUUGCUGUUUGGGGUUUUAGGCUGGGUUUCUGUACAGCACUUUGAGAAUAUCAGCUGAUGUACGAAGGGCUAUAUAAAAAUAAAUUUGAUUUGAUUUGAUUCCAUGCAGCACGGUGGAGUGUGAGAGAGGGUUUAACAACAUGAACCUCAUCACACCAAUGAGAUCUAGGAUCCAAAUUCCCCGUGCGUUUGCCUUGAUGUUCAGAAAACUCCACAGACCCCCUCUUGCGCAGUGUAACCUAGAACGAUAUGUAUUUUGUAUUUAUUAUGGAUCCCCAUUAGCUGCUGCCAAGGCAGUUUUCAAUUUUAAAAACAUUACAAUACAUUCACAGAUUUCACAACACACUGUGCCCUCAGGCCCCUACUCCACCACUACCACAUAUCUACAGUACUAAAUCUAUGUGUGUGUGUAUGUUAUCGUGUGUGUGUAUACAUGUGUCUGUGCCUAUUUUUGUGUUGCUUCACAGUCCCCGCUAUUCCAUAAGGUGUUUUUCUGUUUUUUAAAUCUAAUUUUACUGCUUGCAUCAGUUAUUGAUGUGGAAUAGAGUUCCAUGUAGUCAUGGCUCUAUGUAGUACUGUGUGCCUCCCAUAGUCUGUUCUGGACUUGGGGACUGUAAAGAGACGUUUUGUGGGGUAUGCAUGGAUGUCUGAGCUGUGAGCUUGUCGUUUAAACAGACAGCUCACUGCUUUCAACAAUACCUCUCACAAAUACAAGUAGUGAUGAAGUCAAUCUCUCCUCCACUUUGAGCCAGGAGAUUAUUAUUAAUAUUAGCUCUCUGUGUACAUCCAAGGGCCAGCCAUGCUGCCCUGUUCUGAGCCAAUUGCAAUUUUCCUAAGUCCCUCUUUGAGGCACCUGACCACACAACUGAACAGUAGUCCAGGUGUGACAAAACAAGAGCCUGUAGGACCUGCCUUGUUGAUAGUGUUAUUAAGAAGGCAGAGCAUCGCUUUAUUAUGGACAGACUUCUCCCCAUCUUAGCUACUACUGUAUUAAUAUGUUUUGACCAUGACAGUUAACAAUCCAGGGUAACUCCAAGCAGUUUAGUCAUCUCAACUUGCUCAAUUUCCACAUUAAUUAUUACAAGAUUUAGUUGAGGUUUAGGGUUUAGUGAAUGUUUUUUGUCCCAAAUGCGAUGCUUUUAGUUUUAGAAAUAUUUAGGGCUAACUUAUUCCUUGCCACCCACUCUGAAACUAACUGCAGCUCUUUGUUAAGUGUUGCAGUCAUUUAAGUCGCUGUAGUAGCUGACGUGUAUGGUGUUGAGUCAUCCGCAUACAUAAACACUCUGGCUUUAUUCAAAGUCAGUGGCAUGUCGUUAGUAAAAAUUGAAAAAAGCAAGGGGCCUAAACAGCUACCCUGGGGAAUUCCUGAUUUUACCUGGAUUAUGUUUGAGAAGCUUCCAUUAAAGAACACCCUCUGUGUUCUGUUAGACAAGUAACUCUUUAUCCACAUUAUAGCACAUUAUAUCCACAUUAAAGCCAUAACACAUACACUACCAUUCAAAAGUUUGAAGUCACUUAUAAAUGUCCUUGUUUUUUAAAGAAAAGCACAUUUUUGGUCCAUUAAAAUAACAUCAAAUUGAUCAGAAAUACAGUGUAGACAUUGUUAAUGUUGUAAAUGACUAUUGUAGCUAGAAACAGCUGAUUUAUUUAUGGAAUAUCUACAUAGGUGUACAGAGGCCCAUUAUCAGCAACCAUCACUCCUGUGUUCCAAUGGCACGUUGUGUUAGUUAAUCCAAGUUUAUCAUUUUAAAAGGCUAAUUGAGCAUUAGAAAACCCUUUUGCAAUUAUGCUAGCACAGCUGAAAACUGUUGUUCUGAUUAAAGAAGCAGUAAAACUGGCCUUCUUUAGACAGGUUGAGUAUCUGUGGCAUCAGCAUUUGUGGGUUCGAUUACAGGCUCAAAAUGGCCAGAAACAGAAAUAAAGUACUUUCUUCUGAAACUCGUCAGUCUAUUCUUGAUCUGAGAAAUGAAGGCUAUUCCAUGCGAG